rnacentral:rRNA from 1 species
GACGGAGGAUGCAAGUGUUAUCCGGAAUCACUGGGCGUAAAGCGUCUGUAGGUGGUUUAGAAAGUCUGCUGUUAAAGCUUGAAGCUUAACUUCAAAAAUGCAAUGGAAACUUCUAGACUCGAGUGUGGUAGGGGUAGAGGGAAUUUCCAGUGGAGCGGUGAAAUGCGUAGAUAUUGGAAAGACCACCAAUGGCGAAGGCACUCUACUGGGCCAUAACUGACACUGAGAGACGAAAGCUAGGGGAGCAAAUGGG